rnacentral:rRNA from 1 species
UACGGGGGGAGCAAGCGUUGUUCGGAUUUACUGGGCGUAAAGGGCGCGUAGGCGGCUAUCGCAAGUCAGUUGUGAAAUCUCUGGGCUUAACCCAGAACGGUCAGCUGAUACUGCGGGGCUAGAGUGCAGAAGGGGCAACUGGAAUUCUCGGUGUAGCGGUGAAAUGCGUAGAUAUCGAGAGGAACACCUGCGGCGAAGGCGGGUUGCUGGGCUGACACUGACGCUGACAGCGCGAAAGCUAGGGGAGCGAACGGG